rnacentral:rRNA from 1 species
UACGGAGGGUGCAAGCGUUAAUCGGAAUUACUGGGCGUAAAGCGCACGCAGGUGGCUGAGUCAGUCGAUUGUGAAAGCCCUGGGCUUAACCUGGGAAUUGCAGUCGAUACUACUCAGCUAGAGUAUGGGAGAGGGCAGUGGAAUUCCCGGUGUAGCGGUGAAAUGCGUAGAUAUCGGGAGGAACAUCAGUGGCGAAGGCGGCUGCCUGGCCCAAU